GCCUACGAUCAUACUACGUUGAAAGCACCGCAUCCCGUCAGAUCUGCGAAGUUAAGCAACGUUAGGCCGGGCUAGUACUAUGGUUGGUGACAACAUGGGAACACUCGGUGUCGUAGGCU
rfam:Trichuris suis scaffold257.3, whole genome shotgun sequence.